GCCGAACGCUGGCGGCGUGCCUAAUACAUGCAAGUAGGACGCAGUUGCGAACGGGUGAGUAACGCGUUGGUAACUGCCUAUUAGAGGGGGAUAACUAUUGGAAACGAUAGCUAAUACCGCAUACUCGUAGAUGGACCUGCGUUGUAUUAGCUAGUAGGUAGGGUAAUGGCCUACCUAGGCGACGAUACAUAGCCGACCUGAGAGGGGGAUCGGCUACACUGGGACCGAGACACGGCCCAGACUCCUACGGGAGGCAGCAGUAGGGAAUCGUCGGAAAUGGGGGGAAGCAUGACCGAGCAACGCCGCGUGAGUGAAGAAGGUUUUCGGAUCGGAAAGCUCUGUUGUUAAGGAAGCGGUACUUAACCAGAAAGGGACGGCUAACUACGUGCCAGCAGCCGCGGUAAUAC
rnacentral:rRNA from 1 species